rnacentral:rRNA from 1 species
UUAGAGUAGAAUUUAAGGUCUAACCUGCCCACUGAUUAUUUUAACGGCCGCAGUAUUUUGACUGUGCAAAGGUAGCAUAAUCAUUAGUUUUUUAAUUGAAAGCUUGUAUGAAUGGUUGGACGAGAUAUAGACUGUCUUUAAAUUAUAAUUAGAAUUUAAUUUUUAAGUUAAAAAGCUUAAAUAAAUUUAAAAGACGAGAAGACCCUAUAGAUCUUUAUAAGUAUAAAGAUUUAAUUUUUAAGGAUUAUUAAUUUUUAUAUUUUUAUAUUUAUUUAAUUGGGGUAAUAGAAAGAUUUAAUAAAUUCUUUUUUUAUUAAACAUUGAUAAAUGAUUUAAAUGAUCCAUUAUUAUUGAUUAUAAGAUUAAGUUACCUUAGGGAUAACAGCGUAAUUUUUUUUGAGAGUUCUUAUCGAUAAAAAAGUUUGCGACCUCGAUGUUGGAUUAAAAUUAAUUUUGGGUGUAGAAGUUCAAAGUUUUAGUCUGUUCGACUAUUAAAAUUUUACAUGAUCUGAGUUCAAACCGGUGUAAGCCAGGUUGGUUUCUAUCUUUAAUUAAUUAAUAUAUUUUAGUACGAAAGGACCAAAUAUUUGAUAUAUAAUAUUUUAUAUUUUGAAUUAAAU